UCUAAUUAAAACAUCUAACUUUGCUAACUAUUAUCUUAAAAAAGAAUAGCAAAAUAUUAUUGUUAUAGUUGUUUGGUUGGGCUUCUAAAGAAAGUUUUGGAUGGAAGGUGUUCCUUCAAGAAUCUCGAGUAGGAGUCAUGUUUAUCUUUAUAUUGGUACCAUGAGCCCCAUUAGAUUAUUCACCAUCUUAUUGUUUUGUUCUCUUUAUAUUGGUAUUAUGAGGUAUUAUGAGCCCCAUUGGUCCUAACUCCUUGUCUGUUUAGCAUGAUGAAUAUAUACACGUAAAGAUUUACUAGACAAAAGAAGAGGAGGAGAUUUUCAUUUUGAUUAACAGAACAUUUGACAUUUUCUCUCAAGAUACUUUAGGUGAUGAUUAUGAUAUUGAUCUCGAUGAACUUAUGGACGUACCCAGUCAUUGGACCAUAAAGACCUUCGUAUAAUAUGAGUGUUCAUGUACUGGAUCACCACAUUCAUAGACUACCAAAUGAGCACAUCGAGACAUCACAAAGAUCUUCUGACGAAGACAUGAUUACUGUACUCUUGAUUUUAAUAAGUUUGUCGAGAUACUUGAGGGUACCCAGAUCCUCAAAACAGUAGUGACCAACAUUGGAUCACCAUAUUACUAUAUUAUUGCAUCAGGGAUUUUAGACCACAAAUAUCACAUCAGGCAUUUGGGGCCACAAAUAUCUUCUUAUAAUUAUUGUACUAUUGAUUUCAACAAGUUAUUGGAGAUACUUGAGGCACCCAGAUCCUCAUAACAGUAGUGACCAACAUCCUCAUAACAGUAGUGACCAACAUGUUAUUGGAGAUACUUGAGGCACAGAUCCUCAGAACAGUUGUGACCAACAUUGGAUCACCACAUUACUAUAUUACCACAGGAAUUUACCACAUCGGGGAUUUGGGAUAGAUAGGGUUGAAUCACCACACUACUAUAUUAUCACAUCAGGGAUGAUAUAGGGGUUGAAUCACCA
rnacentral:lncRNA from 1 species